GACGAACGCUGGCGGCGUGCUUAACACAUGCAAGUCGAGCGGAGCGGCGAACGGGUGAGUAACGCGUGAGUAACUGCCCCCCUCUCUGGGAUAACAGUUGGAAACGGCUGCUCAUACCGGAUAGUGGGGGAUGACUCGCGUCCUAUCAGCUUGUUGGUGGGGUAGUGGCCUACCAAGGCGACGGCGGGUAGCCGGCCUGAGAGGGGGACCGGCCACAUGGGGCUGAGGGACGGCGCAGAGUCCUACGGGAGGCAGGAGUGGGGAGUAUUACACAGUGGGGGAAACCCUGAUGCAGCGACGCCGCGGGCGGGAUGACGGCCUUCGGGUUGUAAACCGCUUUCGGCCAUGACGCGGUAGUGGCAGAAGAAGCACCGGCUAACUACGUGCCAGCAGCCGCGGUAAUUC
rnacentral:rRNA from 1 species